AUGAAGGUCCUCUGGAUUGUAAACUUCUUUUAUUUGGGACGAAAAACGGGGAUUCUUCCCCACUUGACGGUACCAGAUGAAUAAGCACCGGCUAACUCCGUGC
rnacentral:rRNA from 1 species